rnacentral:rRNA from 1 species
CACGUAGGGAGCAAGCGUUGUCCGGAUUUAUUGGGCGUAAAGAGCUCGUAGGUGGUUCGGUAAGUCAGGUGUGAAACCUCCAGGCUCAACCUGGAGACGCCACUUGAUACUGCUGUGACUGGAGUCCGGUAGGGGAGCGUGGAAUUCCUGGUGUAGCGGUGAAAUGCGCAGAUAUCAGGAGGAACACCUGCGGCGAAGGCGGCGCUCUGGGCCGGUACUGACACUGAGGAGCGAAAGCGUGGGUAGCAAACAGG